ensembl:misc_RNA Metazoa_SRP Metazoan signal recognition particle RNA
GCCGGGCAUGGUGGUGGGUGCCUGUAAUCCCAGCUACUCAGGAGGCUGAGGCAGGAGAAUCACUUGAACCCGGGAAGUGGAGGCUGCAGUGAGCUGAGAUUGUGCCACUGCACCCCAGCCUGGGUGACAGAGUGAAACUCUGUCUCAA